rnacentral:rRNA from 1 species
UACGAGGGGGGCAAGUGUUGUUCGGAAUCACUGGGCGUAAAGGGAGCGUAGGCGGGAAUUUAAGUUGGAUGUUUAAACCUGGGGCCCAACCCCAGCUCGGCAUCCAAAACUGGAUUUCUUGAAUAGUGGAGAGGUAGAUGGAAUUUCCGGUGUAGCGGUGGAAUGCGUAGAUAUCGGAAAGAACACCAGUUGCGAAGGCGAUCUACUGGACACAUAUUGACGCUGAGGCUCGAAAGCAUGGGGAGCAAACAGG